CCUCGGUUUUAAAACAAACGACCCUGCUGGAGGCAAGCUGCUUUUCAUGACAAAGAUGAAUAAAUUUCAGAUCAGUUUAUGCCUUUGCAUCUUGCUGUUCCAGUUUCAAGAAGUUAAGGAAGAUAACUGGAGAUGUGAUAACGAUACCAGAAGACUGAGAAGAAACUGCCCCUCAUUAGAAAGAUGAUGGAGACCACAUUUCC